rnacentral:rRNA from 1 species
UGGGGAAUAUUGCACAAUGGGCGCAAGCCUGAUGCAGCCAUGCCGCGUGUAUGAAGAAGGCUUUCGGGUUGUAAAGUACUUUCAGUCGGGAGGAAGGUGGUAAGGUUAAUAACCUUGGCAAUUGACGUUACCGACAGAAGAAGCACCGGCUAACUCCGUGCCAGCAGCCGCGGUAAUACGGAGGGUGCAAGCGUUAAUCGGAAUUACUGGGCGUAAAGCGCACGCAGGCGGUUGAUUGAGUGAGAUGUGAAAUCCCCGGGCUUAACGCGGGAAAAGCAUCUGAGACAGGUGAGGUAGAGUCUUGUAGAGGGGGGUAGAAUACCAUGUGUAGCGGUGAAAAGCGUAGAGAUGUGGAGGAAUACCGGUGGCGAAGACGGCCACCUGGACAAAGACUGACGCUCAGGUGCGAAAGCGUGGGGAGCAAACAGG